GGAAUUAAGAGAAAUGGGAGGAAAAAAGAGAAAAUAUGAGUAUCACUAGUUUAAAUACACAUAUAUACACACGUUUGUGUGUGUCAAACUACUGAGCAAAUCAAGAUGCAGUUUAAAUUCCUGUUAACAAAUAAACUUCAACGUGGGUUUUUUUUGCUGCACUAAAUUUGCUGGAUCUUAGCUCCCUGUCAAGGAUCAAACUCAUGCCCUCCGCAGUGAAAGUGAGAAGUCCUAACCACUGGACUGCCAGGGAAUUCCCCCAAAGUAGGUCCCCUUUUCAAAAUUUCACAGGGCGCCGGCAACAUGGCGUCCCGGCCGAAGCGGCGUGUUGUGAGCCCCGUGGCCCCGGCUCUGGGCGACAAGGAAGAGGAGGAUGAAGUGGAGGAGGAGGACGAAGAUGACAGUGACGAAGAAGAUGAAGAGGACGAGGUCGUCAAUGAGGAAGUGAAUAUUGAAUUUGAAGCUUAUUCUAUCUCAGAUAACGAUUAUGAUGGAAUUAAGAAGUUACUACAGCAGCUUUUUCUGAAAGCCCCUGUGAACACCGCAGAACUCACAGAUCUCUUGAUUCAACAGAACCAUAUCGGGAGUGUGAUUAAGCAAACGGAUGUUUCAGAAGACAGCGAUGACGAUGUGGAUGAAGACAAGAUUUUUGGUUUCAUAAGUCUUUUAAAUUUAACUGAAAGAAAGGGAAUCCCUUGUGCUGAGCAAAGUAAGGAGUUGAUUCUGAGCCUCUGUGAGAAGAAUUGUGAGAAGAGCACGGUUGAGGAGUUGGACAGGCUUUUCAACGACACCGCCAGGCCUGUGGGCUUUCUGCUGAGUGAGAGAUUCAUUAACGUUCCUCCACAGAUCACACUGCCUAUGCACCAGCAGCUUCAGAAAGAAUUAGCAGAGGCACGCAGAACUAACAAGCCGUGUGGGAAGUGUCACUUCUACCUUCUGAUUAGCAAGACGUUUGUGGAAGCAGGAAAAAGCAAUUCCAAGAAGAAACGGAGCAACCAAAAGAAAGAAGCGUUAAUGUUUGCAAAUGCGGAAGAAGAAUUUUUCUACGAGAAGGCAAUCCUGAAGUUCAACUACUCAGUGCAGGAGGAGAGCGACCCGUGUCUGGGAGGCCGAUGGUCCUUUGAUGAUGUACCAAUGAAGCCCCUGCGAACUGUGAUGUUAAUUCCAGGCGACAAAAUGAAUGAAAUCAUGGAAAAACUGAAAGAACAUCUCUCUGUCUAACCCAUCUCCCAUGGACCGUGGCGGGCGGGCUUCUGCACAGUUACCGGAAGACUUGGUGGAGGCUUCCUGAAAAACUCACGACUUUAUUCAGAUGAAGGUCCUACAAAAAGUUGGGUUCUGUCAGCCGUGUCUGCGACACAUUUACAAAGUAUCUUUGCUUUUUUAAAAUUUUGGUCAAAUUAAGAACGGUUAAGAACUUUUCCAAUAAGAAGAAAAACCACAGGGUAGUAAUUUAAGGAACUCAAUAAAAACUUCUAUUUUUAGUUUUUAAAUAAAUAAAUAAAUAAAUAAA